GGGAACUUGCUCCGAGAAUCUGAUGUUAGAGGAUGUUUUACACCUGCUGUUCUCCCUGCUGGAAGGACAGCUACCUUUUCACAGAAUAGUCUAUUCUAGAUCCCUGCUCAGGAACCCACUGUGGGCCAAUCAACAGCCUCCCAAAAGGAGUCAGAGAGUUCCAGAAGCUCCCAUUCCAGUGCCAGCUGAGAAUCCAUUUGGAUAAUAACGGAGUAAAAACUCUGGUUUGGA